rnacentral:tRNA from 1 species
GGCGGCAUAGUCAAGCGGUAAGGCAAGGGUCUGCAGAACCUUUAUGCCCCGGUUCGAAUCCGGGUGCCGCCUCCA